rnacentral:lncRNA from 1 species
GCAUAUGGUCACUGGUUCUCGCAUCUAAGUAGUAGCAUUCCAUUUCAUGAGAUCAUAUCUCAAAAUGCUUAUUAACUCUAGAAAUUGUGUUCUUUGUUAUACAUAUAUGUGAGCAUUCGUUUUUAUAUCUACAUCAAUUCUCUCACAUAUAACUAGUAUAGGGUGUGUAGUUAGAAAAUCUGAGUGAAAAUAGAGUGCGUAUCUUGUAAGGAUUGAGGGAAUUCUCUAAGGCAUGUUACUACAUUCAAAACAUUGUUUUAAUUGGUUAAUUGUGAAUUAGUAAGCAGUGACUAUGAUUAAGUAUGUGCUUAAGUGUUAAAUUGACUCAAUUCUGUGGGAAUGAUAAUCUUUAACAUGUCAUGUGCAUUGGAAAUCCCUGUAGCAAAUGUUGGAAGGUUAGGUUAUGUUUUAUUUGUUUUAUUUUGCUCGAGGACUAGCAAUAGCUAAGUGUGGGGGAAUUUGAUAGACGCAUAU